CAGUAGCCGCGGUAAAACGAAGGGGGCUAGCGUUGUUCGGAAUUACUGGGCGUAAAGCGCACGUAGGCGGAUAUUUAAGUCAGGGGUGAAAUCCCAGAGCUCAACUCUGGAACUGCCUUUGAUACUGGGUAUCUUGAGUAUGGAAGAGGUGAGUGGAAUUCCGAGUGUAGAGGUGAAAUUCGUAGAUAUUCGGAGGAACACCAGUGGCGAAGGCGGCUCACUGGUCCAUUACUGACGCUGAGGUGCGAAAGCGUGGGGAGCAAACAGGAUUAGAUACCCCUGUAGUCCCUGUCUCUUAUCC
rnacentral:rRNA from 1 species